AGAGUUUGAUCCUGGCUCAGGAUGAACGCUGGCGGCGUGCCUAACACAUGCAAGUUGAGCGAUUUACUUCGGUAAAGAGCGGCGGACGGGUGAGUAACGCGUGGGUAACCUACCCUGUACACACGGAUAACAUACCGAAAGGUAUGCUAAUACGGGAUAAUAUAUUUGAGAGGCAUCUCUUGAAUAUCAAAGGUGAGCCAGUACAGGAUGGACCCGCGUCUGAUUAGCUAGUUGGUAAGGUAACGGCUUACCAAGGCGACGAUCAGUAGCCGACCUGAGAGGGUGAUCGGCCACAUUGGAACUGAGACACGGUCCAAACUCCUACGGGAGGCAGCAGUGGGGAAUAUUGCACAAUGGGCGAAAGCCUGAUGCAGCAACGCCGCGUGAGUGAUGAAGGCCUUCGGGUCGUAAAACUCUGUCCUCAAGGAAGAUAAUGACGGUACUUGAGGAGGAAGCCCCGGCUAACUACGUGCCAGCAGCCGCGGUAAUACGUAGGGGGCUAGCGUUAUCCGGAUUUACUGGGCGUAAAGGGUGCGUAGGCGGUCUUUCAAGUCAGGAGUGAAAGGCUACGGCUCAACCGUAGUAAGCUCUUGAAACUGGGAGACUUGAGUGCAGGAGAGGAGAGUGGAAUUCCUAGUGUAGCGGUGAAAUGCGUAGAUAUUAGGAGGAACACCAGUUGCGAAGGCGGCUCUCUGGACUGUAACUGACGCUGAGGCACGAAAGCGUGGGGAGCAAACAGGAUUAGAUACCCUGGUAGUCCACGCUGUAAACG
rnacentral:rRNA from 1 species